ACCGUACUCAGAUGCCAUGAAUCCCGGGGUGCGAAGUCGUGCGGCUCGCCCAUGCCUCGGGUGGAGCAAAUCGCGAAACCGGCUGAGGGGGGA
rnacentral:ncRNA from 1 species